rnacentral:rRNA from 1 species
UACGUAGGAGGCAAGCGUUGUCCGGAAUUACUGGGCGUAAAGCGCGUGUAGGUGGUGGGACAAGUCUGCUGUGAAAGCGCCUGGCUUAACCGGGCGAGGUCGGCGGAAACUGUCCGACUCGAGGACGGUAGAGGGGGGUGGAAUUCCCGGUGUAAUGGUGAAAUGCGCAGAUAUCAGGAGGAACACCGAUGGCGAAGGCAGGUCUCUGGGCCACUACUGACGCUGAGAAGCGAAAGCAUGGGGAGCGAACAGG